GACGAACGCUGGCGGCGUGCUUAACACAUGCAAGUCGAACGGGUCUGCCCUGUUUUUUGCGGGGUGGGUCAGUGGCGAACGGGUGAGUAACACGUGAGUAACCUGCCCCUCACUUCUGGAUAACCGCUUGAAAGGGUGGCUAAUACGGGGUGUUCUGGCUGUGCCGCAUGGUGUGGCUGGGAAAGAUUCACUUUUGUGGUGUUUUGGUGGGGGAUGGGCUCGCGGCCUAUCAGCUUGUUGGUGGGGUGAUGGCCUGCCAAGGCUUUGACGGGUAGCCGGCCUGGGAGGGUGGGCGGUCACACUGGGACUGAGAUACGGCCCAGACUCCUGCGGGAGGCAGCAGUGGGGGGUAUUGCACAAUGGGCGGAAGCCUGAUGCAGCGACGUCGCGUGAGGGAUGGAGGCCUUCGGGUUGCGAACCUCUUUCGCCGGUGAAGAAGGUCCUGCUCUUUGUGGUGGGGUUGACGGUAGCCGGGUUAUGAAGCGCCGGCUAACUACGUG
rnacentral:rRNA from 1 species